UGUUGGGGUGUGUUUGUCAGUGUGUGUAUGUGUGUGUAGGUGUUGGGAUGUAUCUGUCAGGGUGUGUGUGUGUCAGUAUGUGUGUGUAUGUAUGUGUUGGGGUGUGUGUGUUGGGGGGGUGUGUCGGGGUGUGUGUGUGUGUCAGUAUGUGUGUUUGUGUGUGUGUUGGGGGGUGUGUGUGUUUUGGGGGUUAUGUGUUGGGGUGUUGGAGUACGUGUGUCAGGGUGUGUGUGUGUCGGGGUGUGUGUGUAUGUGUCAGGGUGUGUGCAGGUGUUGGGGUGCAUAUGUCAGUGUGUGUUGGGGUGCAUGUGUCAGUGUGUGUGUGUGUUGGGGGUGUGUGUAUGUGUUGGGGUGUGUUUGUCAGUGUGUGUAUGUGUGUGUAGGUGUUGGGAUGUAUCUGUCAGGGUGUGUGUGUGUCAGUAUGUGUGUGUAUGUAUGUGUUGGGGUGUGUGUGUUGGGGGGGGGGGGUCGGGGUGUGUGUGUGUGUCAGUAUGUGUGUUUGUGUGUGUGUUGGGGGGUGUGUGUGUUUUUGGGGUUAUGUGUUGGGGUGUUGGAGUACGUGUGUCAGGGUGUGUGUGUGCGUUGCGGUGUGUGUGUAUGUGUUGGGGUGUGUGUUGGGGUGUGUGUGUCAGUGUGCAUGUGUCGGGGUAUGUGUGUCAGGGUGUGUGUGUUGAGCGGUGUGUAUCAGGGGGGCUCUGGGAUGCUGAUGAUUUUAGACACAGAAGAGGGACCCCAGGAGAGAGAAAGAAACACAAAGAGGGAAUGCGCACACCCAGUGAACACACACAAGGCACACAUAACCGCACACACACACCAGCAUAUACACACGCACACAGAAUGCCCAUGCAAACAGAAUGUACAUACACAGAGCACAUACACCAACGGGGACACACACACACACAGUGAACACACACCAGCACAUACACACACACACACGUCAAUGGACACACACACACACAGAGUGCGUACAUGCACACAGUGAACACACACAAAGCAUGCACACACCAAUAGACACACACACACACACAGCCCACAGGAAUACAGUGAACACACACCAGCACAUACACACACACACACCAACGGCCACACACACACACAGAGCCCACAGGCACACAGAGAGCACUCACAUGCACACGCACACACCAGCUCACACACAUGCACACACCAGUGGACACACUCACAGUGAAUUACACAGGCACGCAGAGCGU
rnacentral:lncRNA from 1 species